CAAUACUCGAAUUCACUCAUGAGUUGGCGGCUAACCUGUAAACGGUGAUGCGAGAAUUACAAAAUGGCGAGGCGAAGCACAUGUUCACACUUCAAUGGAAACUAUGAGUGGCAAACAAGCUGACAAGAUGAGUUAAGGUUUAGUGCUUGUCCAUGGCUGUGAAUAUGUAUCAUUAUGAUGGACUUCAGGGUGAAGCGGUGUGAAGACGAUAAAGUAGUCACACAGAUGCUUCAAGGCGAG